GACUACGAUACUGAUAUGAAAGAACAGCGGAAGGGUGAAACGAUCUCACCGACUACCAGCUUGAAGCACCCACCUGUCACUGUCGCGUCGAAACACUGGGUACGCACAAGUCGACCGGACCUACGAAGAUCCAACAGGUCAGUAAACAACCCACUCACCUGAAGUACACUAUCUGACAAACCCCCACACAGAUCCCCGUAUCGGUUUUCCAAAAUCGAUCAUCGUAACUCACCGGAAGUCCCGAAAACCACA
rnacentral:lncRNA from 1 species